AACAGGAUUAGAUACCCUGGUAGUCCACGCCGUAAACGAUGUCGACUUGGAGGUUGUUCCCUUGAGGAGUGGCUUCCGGAGCUAACGCGUUAAGUCGACCGCCUGGGGAGUACGGCCGCAAGGUUAAAACUCAAAUGAAUUGACGGGGGCCCGCACAAGCGGUGGAGCAUGUGGUUUAAUUCGAUGCAACGCGAAGAACCUUACCUACUCUUGACAUCCAGAGAACUUAGCAGAGAUGCUUUGGUGCCUUCGGGAACUCUGAGACAGGUGCUGCAUGGCUGUCGUCAGCUCGUGUUGUGAAAUGUUGGGUUAAGUCCCGCAACGAGCGCAACCCUUAUCCUUUGUUGCCAGCGGCUCGGCCGGGAACUCAAAGGAGACUGCCGGUGAUAAACCGGAGGAAGGUGGGGAUGACGUCAAGUCAUCAUGGCCCUUACGGCCAGGGCUACACACGUGCUACAAUGGCGCAUACAAAGAGAAGCGACCUCGCGAGAGCAAGCGGACCUCAUAAAGUGCGUCGUAGUCCGGAUUGGAGUCUGCAGCUCGACUCCAUGAAGUCGGAAUCGCUAGUAAUCGUAGAUCAGAAUGCUACGGUGAAUACGUUCCCGGGCCUUGUACACACCGCCCGUCACACCAUGGGAGUGGGUUGCAAAAGAAGUAGGUAGCUUAACCUUCGGGAGGGCGCUUACCACUUUGUGAUUCAUGACUGGGGUGAAGUCGUAACAAGGUAACC
rnacentral:rRNA from 1 species